CUCCCGCCUCGGAGACUCUCCGGCGUUGGGACUGAGUGCAGGGCGCAGCCGCAGCGCAUUCCCUUCCCCCAGAGCCUCAGUUGGCCAAAUGGACAUUGUGGUGGUCAAUGACAGAGGAAGAUUCUGCAAGACUCAAGUUUUUCCAGAACUUCCUGUUUUUACUACUUCACUGGUGAUGAGAUUUUUUUUGAAAAAGCACAUUAAUCAAUGAGGCUACUCUACAGAGGUGCCAUUUAUACAUCUUUGGCAGACAUAUUAUAACACACCUUUAACUUCUUUGUAAGCCAUUCCCUUUGUCUUUUCAGGCGUAAAUGCAGAUACCAAACUUUCUUAUACAUGAACCAACACUAAUGUGUACAUGUAGGACUAUGGUGCUCUUAGGACGCCUUAUUAAUUGUUACAACAUGCUCCCGAAAUAGAUCUGUGAUAUGUUUUGCACUGCACAAAAUAAAUUUA